UGGGAAUAUAACUUAAAGGUAGAGUAUCUGCUUUGCACGCAGGGAGUCACGGUUCGAUUCCGUGUAUUUCCAUC
rnacentral:tRNA from 1 species